CCCAACUAUCCCUAUUAAUCAUUACGGUGGUUCUAUUUUGUUGGUUUCUAGGACCACAACGUCCUAUUCUAUUAUUCCAUGCUAAUCUAUUCAAGCAAUAGCCCGCUUUAAACACUCUAAUUUUUUCAAGGUAAUGGUCCUGGCUCCCCAACACACCCAAUUAAGGACAUGCUGGUUCACCAGAAGGAAGACCCGACAACAAGACAGUACUCGCCAAAGACGGACCGCCCGGCCAGGCCUAAAAUUCAACUACGAGCUUUUUAACUGCAACAACUUUAAUAUACGCUAUUGGAGCUGGAAUUACCGCGGCUGCUGGCACCAGACUUGCCCUCCAA
rnacentral:misc_RNA from 1 species